UUUAUGUGGUUACAGUGGCAGCUAAUUUGCAGAAAAUUGUGGAAGAACCUCAGUCAAAUCGAUCUGUCACUUUUAAGCUGGCUUCUGGGGUUGAAAGCUCGGAUAUUCCUGAUGAUGGCAAACUCAUAGGAUUUGCCCAGCUCAGCAUCAGCUAAACCACGGUCCUGGAAGAGUCGGCCUAAGGAGAUUCUACACAUGCGUAUCUCUGUUGCUUCUGUUGGCCUAAAACCCACUACUGCCAAAGAACCCAGCAACAAACCUCCCGGCUUGGAGCUUUAGAGUUCUUACAUUAUGUUCCUCCUGCCAUUAUUCCCUCAUUUUCCCAUAGGGAAAGAAAAGUUGGAUCACCAGUGGCCAGCAUCCCCUCAACAAGUUCCGUUAGUGGACAUGCUGCUCAUGUUCCCUAUCUUCCUCCACCUGAGAAGCAGCCAGUGUGCCUCAUGGCCCAGGAUGGAAAUCUCUCGGCUCAUUCUUGCCUUACUCCAGUGAUGGCCCAGGUGAAAAGUAGCAGCUGCAUUGGGCAUCUUCAUUGUGCCUGUUCUCACACACCUGCCAGGAUUUGGGCAUCUUGGGAUAUCUCUUUUAACACUGAAGUAGCAAUUAAAAGUUGAUUGUUCAGCUGGA